UGGUGUGAGAGGGGCUUUUGGAGCACACCCUGUAAUUAAAUAAUGAGAGAAGCUUGAAGGCCUCAUUUUCAUAGCCUUGGUCAAACAGCUGCUCGGGGCGUCCCUGCAGAUGUGGGAGCAAACCUCUGUUUUCAAAGCACAGGAAAAUCUCGGUUGGCAAGCGGCAGCAGAGGGCACAUGACACACAGAUCCUGGCACACCCUUCUCAGCAAGGUUAACAAGUCCACACGUAACUAUGAGAUGUCUUCUCCAUGCAAGAAGGCCUGAAUCCUGUCGCCUCUCGGACGCCUCAUUGAUGAACUAGACUCAGUUAACUCGUUCGGUGUUACCUCUUGAGCCUUGUUCUUCAGCCCCUGGCUUGCUUUUCUGAUCUAAUGAUGUUCCUCAGCAGUGUAACGUGGGGUGGGUGAGAGGGGGCCCGAAUGACAGCCUCCAGGGAGCCCGUAUUUGAGCUUGCAUUGAG